rnacentral:lncRNA from 1 species
ACGAGGGACCAAGGUGCUGAACUAACAGCAGGGGGAGGAUGAUUCUUCAGGUAACAACAUAGCCCGUCGACUAGAGAAUUAAGUUAACUGUUUGCUUUACUUGAAGCUCCAAAUUGUAGUAAUUUUAUUCGUUCACUAAUUUGGUAUAAUCUUAAUCUAGGAGGAUUAGCACUGUAUGAUAUGAGAUACUGACGUUUAGCAAUGAUAAAAGUCUGAUGUUGAAUGGUUCUUUUCGGAGUACAGUUGUAAGAUCUAUGAUUCUAGCUUCGACCUUUAACUGGACAGUACUAAUUGGACAUAUAAUUGAUGAUUUAUGCACAGCAAGAUAUUCUGUUGUUUUUAGUUCUUCAAUCAGAUUCAUCUAGCCCUUUGUUGACUUUCUAAUUGUUACCCUCUACCUCUGAAACUCAGAAAUCAGAGAAAGGUCAUUGGCAAUUUGGCAUAUCCCUGUCACUGGCGAAGAUUUGCUAGAGAGGAAGAGCACCAGAUUUUUUUUCUAUUGUUGGGGGCAUACAUAAUACAUAUAGAUAAAUUUGGACCAUUUUUAACAGAGAGAUUUCUUGCCAAAAAUAUUAACUCUGUCCAGCAGUGGGCAUUGUCAAGGUAAUAAAAGGAAUUUGCUGAACCUAAUUGAAUGAAAGAGGGAUGGCUAAUCCGAUUGAGAACCUUCUGUAACUGAAUAGACUUACGAACGAUCAACAAUACUAAAUAGUUCCAAAUUAACAGACAUUGCUUGAUUAAAAUACUGAUUUAAGAAUUUGGCGAAUCUAUAAUUCUCUACAUAAUCACUUAGUGUAUUUUUGAUCACCGGGUUAUCCUAGACCACUUGGGGACAGUAUCAUCAAUUUCUUGCAUACUGCAAUGCAAGUUUUAAAAGCCAAUUUCUUAUGUUUCUUAUUAUCUUUAUGUUCACCUAACUGCCAAGAAUCAUAAAAGGAUGCACCUAAGGAGGUAGAUUUUGUUUUAUGCAUAUUUUAAGUGUACGUAUGCUGCAACUGAUUAACAAAACAUUGUUCAACCUUCUAUGAGUCUGCCUAGGGAGCUGCACAGAUUUGGAACAACUUCCAGAACAAGCACCAAGCAUUUUGGUCAGGUACCACUAAGCUGCCAGAGCAAGAUAGCUGGGAUGUCAAGUCCCUAGGGCAAUGGUAAAUCUCAAAUUGCCUGAUGUUCGAUGGGAAGCAUCAGACAAUACCAAUGUCCAGUAGUAAGAUCUGAUUGUGCAGGUGGUCAAGCCAAGAUAAGUGUGCGUGCAUCACCGUUUAGUCGAGAUUUAGAAAAAGAUGAUGUCUGCUAUGAUAGUUUCCAGAAUAGUUUGGCCCUUGAGACACUUCCACUGUAUGCAUGUGUGUUCCUUUUUUCCAGAGAUAUGCAUGUCUAUUGAUUAUUAUUGGAAUUGGUUCAACAAACAGUGUAUAUGUGACAAAAUUACUAAUAUACUGACCGAGCCUGAUAAUCUGACUAAUCCAUACAGUGGAUAUGCACCAAUGCUCAAAUUUUAAAAAUGAAGGAUUCAACUUUUUUUGGAUUAUUAUUAUUUGUGAAGUCGUGAGUAUGCCUAGCAACCGUAAAAAAUAUAUAGUUCGACUUAGUGGUAGGUUCUGCAGUAGUCUUGCCUUGAAGGUUUCGUCAUAGUAAAAAUUGAUAUGUCUUUAUGAAGUAAUCUGAGCAUUUUGUUGGUUGCAG